UGACAGCAGUAACUAAAUUAUACUCUUUUGU
rnacentral:piRNA from 1 species